rnacentral:sRNA from 1 species
CAGGACAGGUAUAGUACAGGCAGCAACAGUGCAAGCUUUCCCCACACCACCUCAUCCAGGCGCUUCAACCCUGACCUGGAGACACCACCUCUAGA